rnacentral:rRNA from 1 species
CCUACGGGUGGCAGCAGUCGAGAAUCAUUCACAAUGGGGGAAACCCUGAUGGUGCGACGCCGCGUGGGGGAAUGAAGGUCUUCGGAUUGUAAACCCCUGUCAUGUGGGAGCAAAUUAAAAAGGUAGUACCACAAGAGGAAGAGACGGCUAACUCUGUGCCAGCAGCCGCGGUAAUACAGAGGUCUCAAGAGUUGUUCGGAAUCACUGGGCGUAAAGCGUGCGUAGGGUGUUUCGUAAGUCGUGUGUGAAAGGCGCGUGCUCAACCCGCGGACGGCACAUGAUACUGCGAGACUAGAGUAAGGGAGGGGGAACCGGAAUUCUCGGUGUAGCAGUGAAAUGCGUAGAUAUCGAGAGGAACACUCGUGGCGAAGGCGGGUUCCUGGACAUUAACUGACGCUGAGGCACGAAGGCCAGGGGAGCAAACAGGAUUAGAUACCCGUGUAGUC